rnacentral:rRNA from 1 species
UACAGAGGUCCCAAGCGUUGGUCGGAUUCACUGGGCGUAAAGGGUGCGUAGGUGGUGAGGUAAGUCGGAUGUGAAAGCUCGGAGCUCAACUCCGAAAUGGCAUUGGAAACUACCUUGCUCGAGGAAUGGAGGGGGGACUGGAAUUCUCGGUGUAGCAGUGAAAUGCGUAGAUAUCGAGAGGAACACCAGUGGCGAAGGCGAGUCCCUGGACAUCUCCUGACACUGAGGCACGAAAGCUAGGGGAGCAAACAGG